rnacentral:pre_miRNA from 1 species
CUUAUACUCCCUCUGUUCGGAAUUACUUGUCGCGGAAAUGGAUGUAUCUAGAUGUAUUUUAGUUCUAGAUACAUCCAUUUUUGAGACAAGUAAUUCCGAACGGAGGGAGUAUCUU